UACGGAAGGCAGCAGUGGGGAAUAUUGCACAAUGGGCGCAAGCCUGAUGCAGCCAUGCCGCGUGUAUGAAAAAGGCCUUCGGGUUGUAAAGUACUUUCAGUCGUGAGGAAGGUGUUAAGGUUAAUAACCUUAGCAAUUGACGUUAGCGACAGAAGAAGCACCGGCUAACUCCGUGCCAGCAGCCGCGGUAAUACGGAGGGUGCGAGCGUUAAUCGGAAUUACUGGGCGUAAAGGGCACGCAGGCGGUUAAUUAAGUUGGAUGUGAAUCCCCGGGCUUAACCUGGGAAUGGCAUUCAAGCUGGUUAGCUAGAGUCUUGUAGAGGGGGUAGAAUUCCAUGUGUAGCGGUGAAAUGCGUAGAGAUGUGGAGGAAUACCGGUGGCGAAGGCGGCCCCUGGACAAAGACUGACGCUCAUGUGCGAAAGCGUGGGGAGCAAACAGGGAUUAGAUACC
rnacentral:rRNA from 1 species